AUUUUUUUGUCCACCAUUCAUCACAUGCUAUAAUCCGACCAAUUGAAAGGUUGUAUUCGACCCUGUUGCAAGCCUGCAGUUUGAAGAGACGUUUAUGCUCUCAAAGUAUUGCAUCCUAGUGGUUGUGAAUUGUUGUUUUCUUUAAUUGUGGCCAAAGAUAGAGUUAAGUAGUGGCAAUCACACGGUUCCAGCCGUGUUUUGUGAAAUGGCUCCCAUGUCGAUGAUCUUUGGCAAUACAAGUUUAUUGGUCACAAGUUAUUUCUCGAUUACAAUUUAUCAAAUCAAUUACUCAUGACUUAUUUUUGGGCACAAAUUACAAUUUUUUUAGAUCACUACUCAUUUCAAGGUCAUAAAUUAUGAAAUUAACUGUCACAACUUAUUUUUCAAUGACAACUGCUUCUUUACGUCUUAAAUCAAGAAAAAAAGGGACAUACAUUUACCCAAUGUUUUUCACAUUCAAGCCAUUGAAAGAGUCGGAACUAUGUGAUAAAAAACUAGUAAUCAAGAAUUCAAGAGAAUUGGAUUCUAAAAAGUCUUCAGUUUCAAAUACUAAUGAUCCCACAUUUGCACCACUUACUCAAGAUCCCUCGUCCGAUCCCUCGUCUAAUAUACCGACAUUAGGCAAUUUCUUGCCACUACCGUAGAUUCUGCCCUAACUCACUAACCUACAAUUUGCCACAAUUGUGCCCAGAAAACAAACAAUACCCAAGGACUCUACAAUGGAUUCUGAAUUAGUAGAUAAAAAAGUGACUGAUUCAUUUUUCUUCCCACCAAAUCCGCUUAAUCCACCAUCUAUACUGCCUCCCAACCCCUUGCUACUUGCAACUACUAUCUAUACUUCCUCCAACCCCUUAUUGCCAUCGCCAUCAAUAAUUCCUCCGACGCAUUUUGGCCUCCAUCAUCCAUACUUCCUCCAAUUUUCCCUACGCCACCUCCUUCAAUAUUUCCUCCAAUUCUCCCUACACCUUUGCACCAUCUUUGAACGUCCUACCAUUAAUAUCAAGUUUAACUCCAUCUCCACCACUACCAUUACCAUAAUUUCCAUUUGUUCCCCUUGAUUCAUUUCUUUUCUAACCCAUACCUAACUCCCACAAUAUUUCCUUCAAUGUUACAAUAUUAGCAGAUGAGAGGUUAUGUACCGUUCUCCAAGGUAGGGUAGGGAUAUGAGAGAGAUUGCUACUUCUCAGCCCAAUAGUGCGGGUAGAUUUUCUCCAUCUUAUGGCAGCAUUGCCUCGAGGUCUUGAGAAUUGGGGAGUCAGAGAAAUGGCUAUUGGUGAUGGCCACCACUGCAUCCCAAUCCAUCGUGCACAUGUAUCCUCUCUAUAAAGGAUACCACCUUUCGUGAUAAGCAUCAAUCAAAGUCAGUAUCUUCUCUUAGGUCCAGCAUGGCAGAGUAAAUCUCUAGGAGUUUUUACCGUCAUUUCAGUGGCACCACGUCCCUCGGACAGUGCCGCUAUUAUUGCCAGAGAAGAGAUUUGGGCACUAUGUAUGG
rnacentral:lncRNA from 1 species